GUAGGGAAUCUUCCGCAAUGGACGAAAGUCUGACGGAGCAACGCCGCGUGAGUGAUGAAGGCUUUCGGGUCGUAAAACUCUGUUGUUAGGGAAGAACAAGUGCUAGUUGAAUAAGCUGGCACCUUGACGGUACCUAACCAGAAAGCCACGGCUAACUACGUGCCAGCAGCCGCGGUAAUACGUAGGUGGCAAGCGUUAUCCGGAAUUAUUGGGCGUAAAGCGCGCGCAGGUGGUUUCUUAAGUCUGAUGUGAAAGCCCACGGCUCAACCGUGGAGGGUCAUUGGAAACUGGGAGACUUGAGUGCAGAAGAGGAAAGUGGAAUUCCAUGUGUAGCGGUGAAAUGCGUAGAGAUAUGGAGGAACACCAGUGGCGAAGGCGACUUUCUGGUCUGUAACUGACACUGAGGCGCGAAAGCGUGGGGAGCAAACAGGAUUAGAAACCCUGGUAGCC
rnacentral:rRNA from 1 species